UUGUGUAUGUAUGUAUUACCACAAUGCCCAAGCAGCUACACUAGGAUAAUGUCAUCAAUUAGCCAGCUAGAUGGUCAAGGGACCUAGAUUGAAACAGUACCAGUAACACUUUUUCCACAAUGACAUUAAAGACUUUUUUUUUAGGAGCUUUGGGCACUUGUGGAAUUGUUGUCUUCUCACCAUUUUGAGUUGAACAUUGGAAUGCACAAUCAGAAGUACAUGCUCUCAUGAAGCAACAAAAAAGGUUGAUUCACACUUAGAAAUUCUCUUCACAUUCUCUUUACAAGAAAGUAUAACAUUAAUAAAAGCACCAACUAAUUAUUGAAACACAAAUAUUCAUCUAAAUUCUUUUGGUGCAAUAAUUCAUAGACAUAAGAUAAAGAAAAUGUUUCUUAAAACAGAACUAGUCAAAAUGUUUGUCUCUAGAUGGCAGAUAUCAAAAUGUUCAAUAAAUAGUUCAUGUCUACAAAAUGAGUUAAAAGAAAAACUCACAAGACUAUUCAAUGUAUAAGUAAUGACAGUCAACAAAGUUAUAUGAACAGUCAAUGUAUAAGACACUAUGUAUGCAGAGAAUUUAGCUUCCUGCUGGUGCGCCAGUCAGUUUAGUGGUCUUGUUGUAGCAGUAUUGGUGCUCCAGUAAUUUAGUGGUCUUGUUGUAGCUG